GAUGAACGCUGGCGGCGUGCCUAAUACAUGCAAGUCGAGCGAACAGACGAGGAGCUUGCUCCUCUGACGUUAGCGGCGGACGGGUGAGUAACACGUGGAUAACCUACCUAUAAGACUGGGAUAACUUUGGGAAACCGGAGCUAAUACCGGAUAAUAUAUUGAACCGCAUGGUUCAAUAGUGAAAGACGGUUUUGCUGUCACUUAUAGAUGGAUCCGCGCCGCAUUAGCUAGUUGUUAAGGUAACGGCUUACCAAGGCGACGAUGCGUAGCCGACCUGAGAGGGUGAUCGGCCACACUGGAACUGAGACACGGUCCAGACUCCUACGGGAGGCAGCAGUAGGGAACCUUCGGCAAUGGGCGAAAGCCUGACGGAGAAACGCCGCGUGAGUGAUGAAGGUCUUCGGAUCGUAAAACUCUGUUAUUAGGGAAGAACAAAUGUGUAAGUAACUAUGCACGUCUUGACGGUAACUAAUCAGAAAGCCACGGCUAACUACGUG
rnacentral:rRNA from 1 species